rnacentral:rRNA from 1 species
GGCUCAGGAUAAACGCUGGCGGCGUGCUUUAAGCAUGCAAGUCGCACGGAUGCUCGCAAGAGUGUGAGUGGCAGACGGCUGAGGAAGACGGAAGGAACCUGCCCUUCAGAGGGGGAUAACUCCGCGAAAGCGGGGCUAAGACCGCGUACGCUCACCCUGGGGAGAUCAGGGGGAGGAAAACCGCAAGGUGCUGAAGGAGGGGCUUCCGGCCCAUCAGGUAGUUGGUGAGGUAAGAGCCCACCAAGCCGAUGACGGGUCGCUGGUCUCAGAGGAUGAUCAGCCAGACUGGGACUGAGACACGGCCCAGACUCCUACGGGAGGCAGCAGCUAGGAAUCUUGCGCAAUGGGCGAAAGCCUGACGCAGCGACGCCGCGUGGGGGAUGACGGUUUUCGGAUUGUAAACCCCUUUUCGGUGGGACGAGAAUGGACGGUACCAUCGGAAGAAGCCCCGGCUAACUACGUGCCAGCAGCCGCGGUAAUACGUAGGGGGCGAGCGUUGUCCGGAUUUACUGGGCGUAAAGAGCGCGUAGGCGGUCGGGUAGGUUGGUUGUGAAAGCUGCGGGCUUAACCCGCAAGGGUCAACCAAAACCAUUCGACUUCGAGGGCAGUAGAGGAAGGUGGAAUUCCGGGUGUAGUGGUGAAAUGCGUAGAGAUCCGGAGGAACACCGGCGGCGAAGGCGGCCUUCUGGGCUGGCCCUGACGCUGAGGCGCGAAAGCGUGGGGAGCGAACUGAAUUAGAUACUCAGGUAGUCCACGCCCUCAAUCAUGGACACUAGGUGUGGGGGGUAUCGACCCCUCCCGUGCCGGCGCUAACGCAGUAAGUGUCCCGCCUGGGGAGUACGGCCGCAAGGCUAAAACUC